CCAAAAUCCGUGCGGCUUAGCUGAGGCGUGAUGACGAGGUGCCACUGGCACUGAAGUGACUGAUACCCUGCUUCCAGGAAAAGCCUCUAAGCUUCAGUCUGUGACGACCGUACCGCAAACCGACACAGGUGGGCAGGAUGAAAAUUCUAAGGCGCUUGAGAGAACUCAGGAGAAGGAACUCGGCAAAUUGACACCGUAACUUCGGGAGAAGGUGUGCCUCGAUAACGUGAAAGCCCUCGCGGCUGGAGCGGUAAGAGGUUGCAAAGAAUCGGUGGCUGCGACUGUUUAAUGAAAACACAGCACUCUGCUAAGGCGAAAGCCGACGUAUAGGGUGUGACGCCUGCCCGGUGCCGGAAGGUUAAGUGAUGGGGUGCAAGCUCUUGAUCGAAGCCCCGGUAAACGGCGGCCGUAACAAUAACGGUCCUAGGUAGCGAAAUUCCUUGUCGGGUAAGUUCCGACCUGCACGAAUGGCGUAACGAUGGCCACACUGUCUCCUCCUGAGACUCAGCGAAGUUGAAGUGUUUGUGAAGAUGCAAUCUACCCGCGGCUAGACGGAAAGACCCCAUGAACCUUUACUGUAGCUUUGCAUUGGACUUUGACGGGACUUGUGUAGGAUAGGUGGGAGGCUGUGAGACGGGGUCGCUAGAUCUCGUGGAGCCAACCUUGAGAUACCACCCUGGUGUCGUUGAGGUUCUAACCUUGGUCCGUGAAUCCGGAUCGGGGACCGUGCAUGGUGGGCAGUUUGACUGGGGCGGUCUCCUCCUAAAGGGUAACGGAGGAGUACGAAGGUCUUCUAGGUACGGUCGGACAUCGUACUGAUAGUGCAAUGGCAAAAGAAGGCUUGACUGCGAGACCCACAAGUCGAGCAGGUGCGAAAGCAGGUCAUAGUGAUCCGGUGGUUCUGUAUGGAAGGGCCAUCGCUCAACGGAUAAAAGGUACUCUGGGGAUAACAGGCUGAUUCCGCCCAAGAGUUCAUAUCGACGGCGGAGUUUGGCACCUCGAUGUCGGCUCAUCACAUCCUGGGGCUGUAGCCGGUCCCAAGGGUAUGGCUGUUCGCCAUUUAAAGUGGUACGUGAGCUGGGUUUAAAACGUCGUGAGACAGUUUGGUCCCUAUCUGCCGUGGGCGUUGGAUAUUUGAGGGGGGCUGCUCCUAGUACGAGAGGACCGGAGUGGACGGAUCUCUGGUGUACCGGUUGUCACGCCAGUGGCAUCGCCGGGUAGCUAAAUCCGGAAGAGAUAAACGCUGAAAGCAUCUAAGCGUGAAACUCGCCUCAAGAUGAGAUAUCCCGGGAACUCGAUUCCCCUAAAGGGUCGUCCAAGACCAGGACGUUGAUAGGUCGGGUGUGGAAGCGCAGUAAUGCGUUAAGCUAACCGAUACUAAUUGCCCGUGCGGCUUGACU
rnacentral:rRNA from 1 species